CUACGUGGAGGAGGGUCUUGUGAUAGACGCACGCGUGCGAACAUCGGAAUCAGGUAAUUGCAACCCAUGGAAAAUACCUUCAGACUUUGCUACGGUGGUAGUGGCGGCGAUGUUGGCUGUAAAAUGGAGGCGAAGAAAUUACUGCAAGUCUAAAAUAUUAAACUACAUAGGCAAUCUACACAGGGCGUGUAUAGGAUGGUUGAAGCCGGAACACAAGAGUUCUAACAAUAAGAUGAAAGAGUUCUAAGAAUGGAAAAAGAGGGAUUUAAUUACACAGUUUUUGGGCGGCUCGUUGUUAACACAUGAGCGUGACAAGAAGAAAUAAACGUGAAGCCAAUUUAAUAGGAGAAGGAAUGGCCACCUUUGGUCCAUGAUCUAUGAUGUGAUCAGUCAUGACCAAAAUAUAGAAUAUGUUUAAAAUUCAGUGGAUAAUAAAGAUAAAAUAAUACAUUAUUCGCAUUAUGCAUGAAACGGAACGCUGCACCCUUAAAUAUGUACUGAAAUAUAUCUAUAUGGUUAUCAAUUUUAUAAUUUUAUUUCCGCAUUUGCAAUGAAAGAACUGCACUCUUAUAUAAGACAUCUCCCUAUAUUCGUGCAAAAAUAUGUAAAAUAAAAAAGUAAAAAGUCUUUAGUUUUCACUUACAAUUGUAAAAGAUAUAUCCGAGGUAAUGUUCACAGAUUAACACCAAGUCUGCAGUCCGAUUCAUGCUCAAAUAACGCUCAGUGAGCAUUAUUUGCCCUUAUGUUUAACAUUCGAUA